rnacentral:lncRNA from 1 species
AAAGUUAAUUUUAAAUAAAAACCAAAGCUUUAGUUUUAUUGAAUACUUGAAUUGUUAUUACAACUUAAGCACUAAGGCCUUUAUAUAUAACUUUAUUUUCCAACCCAAAUGGAAAUAGGAUUACAUAAUCCUAAUAGAAAUCCUAAACAAUUAUUUUAGUUGAACUCUCGCUAGAAAUUAAUUAAAUAAUGGAAUCCUAAUUCUAC